rnacentral:rRNA from 1 species
ACUCCUACGGGAGGCAGCAGUGGGGAAUAUUGCACAAUGGGCGCAAGCCUGAUGCAGCAAUGCCGCGUGUGUGAAGAAGGCCUUCGGGUUGUAAAGCACUUUCAACAGUGAGGAAAAGCUGUGUAUUAAUAGUGCAUAGCCGUGACGUUAACUGUAGAAGAAGCACCGGCUAACUCCGUGCCAGCAGCCGCGGUAAU